UACGUAGGGGGCAAGCGUUGUCCGGAUUUAUUGGGCGUAAAGAGCGUGUAGGCGGCCAGACAGGUCCGUUGUGAAAACUCGAGGCUCAACCUCGAGACGCCGAUGGAAACCGUUUGGCUAGAGUCCGGAAGAGGAGAGUGGAAUUCCUGGUGUAGCGGUGAAAUGCGCAGAUAUCAGGAGGAAUACCGAUGGCGAAGGCGAGUCCCUGGACAACACCUGACACUGAGGCACGAAAGCUAGGGGAGCAAACAGG
rnacentral:rRNA from 1 species